rnacentral:rRNA from 1 species
AGAGUUUGAUCCUGGCUCAGAACGAACGCUGGCGGCAGGCUUAACACAUGCAAGUCGAGCGCCCUGCUUGCAGGGAGCGGCAGACGGGUUAGUAACGCGUGGGAACCUACCUAGUAGUACGGAAUAGCCUCGGGAAACUGGGAUUAAUACCGUAUACGCCCUUCGGGGGAAAGAUUUAUCGCUAUUAGAUGGGCCCGCGUUUGAUUAGGUAGUUGGUGGGGUAAUGGCCUACCAAGCCGACGAUCAAUAGCUGGUCUGAGAGGAUGAUCAGCAACACUGGGACUGAGACACGGCCCAGACUCCUACGGGAGGCAGCAGUGGGGAAUAUUGGGCAAUGGGCGAAAGCCUGAUCCAGCCAUGCCGCGUGAGUGAUGAAGGCCCUAGGGUUGUAAAGCUCUUUCGCUAGAGAAGAUAAUGACGGUAUCUAGUAAAGAAGCCCCGGCUAACUUCGUGCCAGCAGCCGCGGUAAUACGAAGGGGGCUAGCGUUGUUCGGAUUUACUGGGCGUAAAGCGCACGUAGGCGGAUUGGUUAGUUAGAGGUGAAAUCCCGGGGCUCAACUCCGGAACUGCCUCUAAUACUGCCAGUCUUGAGUCCGGAAGAGGUAAGUGGAAUUCCUAGUGUAGAGGU